CUGUUCUAUAAUUUAAUUUUUAUAGCACUAAGUGAAACUUUGAUUCACUAUAAUACAGGUUAUUCGAAAGAAUGAAUCAAUUUAGUAUAGUAUAGGACAUGUGAAAAAUUAAUUUCUAGAUUUUUGCAAGGUUUAACAAUACCAGAAAUUACAUCAUUGUCGGUAUAUACCUCAGUAAAUCAAAAGAGAAUAUCUUUCAUAUAUUCAUACCUCAGAAGUUCAUAACAUGCCUCAGUUCCUCCUCCAGAGGAAAUUAACAACUACAAAUCCAGUAUUUCUUUUCCUAUACAAAAGAAAAUUUCUCACAUUUAAUAGAAGACUAAUUAGAAAGCACAAUUAGAGUCAGUAACCACUUAUCAUUUGUCUUCCUGCUCUAGGCUUCCAUUGUUUGUAGCACAAUGUUGCAUUAAGUCAUGCACAUAGGAAUGGAUGGUGUUAUAAAAUGCAGCAGGUAGAUGGAGCUUAUUCCCAAAUCUGGGUGUCUUAACAGAAUUAGUUCAUAGCCCCUUUAACCUUUCCCAUCCACUUUCACACAUCUGGAUGCAUUUUAGGUGUGGUAUUUGGAGUCGUGCCAGGGUGUAUUACCAUAUGGAGAAGUUUUCCUAUGCUCUCAAGUAAGUCCUGAUAUUUCAGAGGAUGAGAUAUGUCCAUUCAUCACUUUUAUGACAUUUGACAGUAUAAAUAGGAAUUUUUUUCCAGACAUAUAUAAAGUUAUAAACAGGUUGUGCAUAGUAGUUUUACUGAAAAACUUGGCAAACAUUUGCUUUCAUGAAGAUGGGAGUUGUAACUGAGUCAUUCUUUCAAAAUCACAACAGUAAUACAUGGAUGUUGUCAAUGAUCAUGUGACAAGAAAACCAUAGAACAUAAACAAAAUGUAGCGAAUAGAUAGGAAAUGAAAAUUUCUGGGAGAUAUGGAAGAGUGGCUCAUUUCUUGUUUUGAUUACUUUACUUUAAAAUAUGAUUUGCAACUUACAAAAGCAUUAAUAAGAGGUUUCCAGAAGCUUAAAUGCUUCUUAUUUCUGCAGAAAACAAGCAUGUAUUUGUAAACUUGUCAUGGAUAUUAUGAAUGUGAUUAUACAUCAUCAUCUGUAGCCUCAUUGAAAUUGUAUUUGUACAUGUUUUAAAAUACAAAAAUAAAAUAUUUUCCCCUUUGCCUUUCUUUCUAGCAGCUCUUAAACAUGAUAUUUUUGCUUUCUUUUGAUGUAAUAAAACAAAAUACUAUUUGAUUAGGAUAUUUAGAUGAGCUAUCUUCAUAGUUUUUUUCACAAUAAUAGGAAACAUUUAAUAGUGUGAAUAAAAGCUACUUUCUGCAAAAAUAGUAAAAAAGCUUAUAAGCAUAAAUAUUCAGAAUAAAUAACAUAUAUAUCAUAGAAUUAGAUUUAUUUUUUUUUUAAUUUUUAAUUUACUUUAUUUAUUUUUUAAAUUUACAUCUAAAUUAGUUAGCAUAUAAUGCAACAAUGAUUUCAGGAGUAGAUUCCUUAGUGCCCCUUACCCAUUUAGCCCAUUCCCCCUCCCACAUCCCCUCCAGCAACCCUCAGUUUGUUCUCCAUAUUUAUGAGUCUCUUCUGUUUUGUCUCCCUCCCUGUUUUCAUAUUAUUUUUGUUUUCCUUCCCUUAUGUUCAUCUGUUUUGUCUCUUAAAUAUCAGUGUUUUUGUUUUGUCUCUUCAUAUCAGUGAAGUCAUAUGAUUUUUGUCUUUCUCUGACUAAUUUCACUUAGCAUAAUACCCUCCAGUUCCAUCCACGUAGUUGCAAAUGGCAAGAUUUCAUUCUUUUUGAUUGCCGAGUAAUGCUCCAUUGUAUAUAUAUACCACCUCUUCUUCAUCCAUUCAUCCAUUGAUGGACAUUUGGGCUCUUUCCAUACUUUGGCUAUUGUUGAUAGUGCUAUUAUAAACACAGGAGUGCAUGUGUCCCUUUGAAACAGCACCCCUGUAUCCCUUGGAUAAAUGCCUAGUAGUGCAAUUGCUGGGUCAUAGGGUAGUUCUAUUUUUAGUUUUUUGAGGAACCUCCAUACUGUUUUCCAGAGUGGCUGCACCAGCUUGCAUUCCUGUAGAAUUAUAUUUAUUAAUAGUAUAAUCAAUUUAGAUAUAAAAUGGACUUUAAUAGUUUCACAUAGUCUCCUUUCUACCUAUGUACAAAUACAAGAGGUGCAAAAAUAAUAUUCGUUGUGAUAUAAUAUAUUACGUACAGUCUAAGAUAUUAAAGUGAAGCCUACAUGGACUGUCAGAUAUCAGAAAUCAUAUUCUCAUAGCUGGACAAAUUAGCAGAUGAGAAUAAGUGUGCUGCUCCACAUAAUCAACACUGAAAUGUUCCACUGGAAUGAAUGAAACUUGAAUACGCAUCCUUGUUGAAAAGACCAUAGGUGAUCACAGAACGGUCAGUUUAUGAAUUCAUCAUAACUUCUGCUCCAAACGUGAAGAUACAUGCUAAAUCUAUUUUGUAAGUUUAAACUAUAAUCUCGGAAAGUCUGUAGAUACACUGGCCUCCAAUUAUGCAUUAUCGUCAGCAUUCCUAUUCUCCAGGUGCUAAGAGCUUAUACUUCUUGAAGCAUACAUCCUUCUAUCUAUGAUAAAUAAUUUAUAUCAGCACAAUUAAUCGAUGGAUGUCAAAGGACUUAGACCAGUUUAAGCUUGUAAACAACUGCUGUCACAACUAACAUAUCUUAAUAGAACAAGGCCUUCUGAGUUCCAGAUCCUUGAGUUUGAGAUCCUUUUCUUUGUGCAAGCCCUAUCAGUAUACUUCAAAGCCUCAAGGCUAUGGCAAAUAUUGUUAAUAGACUUGCAGCUUUAAUUAAGUUAAUGACCCAAGAUUUAGCUUUAUAUGGAUUCUCCAACACAUCAGAUUAUUUUCUAUGUUAGAGUAGUUCAAACUGCUGCGUUCUCUAAUAAACAUUAUGCCAUUAACACGAGUAUUUAAGUAGAUAGAUGUUUGCAGAACUUGCUGCUGACUUCUAACUGGAUAAUAGAGCAUGAACUUUCCAAACCUAAGAAAUUUGCAACUGAAGGCUUUCUUUUGAUUCUACGUAAAAUUAUGACAUCUUUCCUUCAUUACACAAGUCUUUUUAAUAAUAAUUUAAAUUUCAACAUUGAGUUUUUUAAAUUAUCUCUUUGAAUCUAGUAUGGUAACUUCUUUGAAAUUCACUAAUUAUUAAAAAAAAACCUCAUUAAAUGGAGUACUCAAACUAAAUUUUUGAAUGGUAAAUAAUUUACAUACUGUAAUACCAACAUUUAAGACUAUUUUUCUCAAACUCAACAAUAAAUCCAUUUAUUUAACCCCUACCAAAGUCACUUUUCACAUUUUUAAAAAUAUUUAUCUACUAGGGAAAAGUAAGAAAAUAAAGCUCUGGUUUCAAUUAAAACGUAAAAUGAAAGACUGAACUUUUCUCUUACAACUGUCUAUUUAAAUUGUUGUAUAUUCAAAGAAUCAGAUUCCAUUGAGAAUUUAUUUUAACUUUUGAAAGAAAUUCAUUCUCAAACUAAUAUUUUCUUAGUUUGUAGUUUCUUCUGCAAUUUCCAUAGUUGCUAUAUGUUUUAAUACAUGAGUAAGUCUACCUAAUUUGGGUUUUUUUUUUUCCAUUCUUAAUUUUGGACUGAAAUAGCCGAUAGUGUCUAUUUAAAUUAAAUUCAGAUGUCUAUAUUAAAUUCUAAUUUUGUGAGAGGUAAAUAAGAUAGCUAAUUUAUAUAAAUUACAAAAAAAAAAAAAAACCACCUGAUUUUCUUUUGUUGUUGUUGUUUACACCACAAGUUUAAAAGGUAAUCUUUCCCAACAGGAUUCUAAAGAGGUUGUAUUUGAGGUUUAUAGUAUCAAUGACUUGGGCUUUUAUACACAGAUAUUUUUCUUGGAGGAAAUUUAAGUCCAAAUAUGUGAGUAUUGUUCAUGCCCGUGCACCCUAAAUUGGUUACUCUUUGCUCC